UACGUAGGGUGCAAGCGUUGUCCGGAAUUAUUGGGCGUAAAGAGCUCGUAGGCGGUUUGUCACGUCGGAUGUGAAACCCCGAGGCUUAACCUCGGGCCUGCAUUCGAUACGGGCUGACUAGAGUUCGGUAGGGGAGACUGGAAUUCCUGGUGUAGCGGUGAAAUGCGCAGAUAUCAGGAGGAACACCGGUGGCGAAGGCGGGUCUCUGGGCCGAUACUGACGCUGAGGAGCGAAAGCGUGGGGAGCGAACAGG
rnacentral:rRNA from 1 species